rnacentral:lncRNA from 1 species
UUUGUCCUAUCAUGUGACCACUUGUCACACUUCCAUCAAACAGUACCUGCCCCUUAGGUGUGCUAGGGAAUAAAUGAAAUGCCUGGGACAUCAUCGUUAAGUGGCAUCUGAUGCAUAAGCAGUGCCCUAGGAAUGGGGUUGCCUGCCUUGGUCUCUAAAGGAUGGGUUCAAAAGGCAAGAGCAGCACACAAGAAGAUAGCUUCAAGCAGGAGAUAAAGCUUGGCCCAGGGCCCAAAGGGGAUACGACCCUUCAGGUUGGCCCUGACCUCUGGGUUGGAUUACCAGUGACACAAUGAACAUUUCAUUAUGAGGCCAUCCCUUGAGCAAACUGACAUGCUGAAAGCUGCCCUAUGGAGAGGCUCAUGUGGCAAGGAACAGAGGGUGGCUUCUGGCCAACACCCAGUGAGGAACUCAGGCCCUCAGUCAAACAGCCUGCAAGGAACUGAACCCUGCCAAUAACCAGGCAGUGUCAGCCCCCGGCCAAUGACCACCAUGGACCUCCCUGUAGUUGAACAAAGUUGGGUUUGCUGACUGGUGGCAGUGAGGGAGAAUGCACACCACAGGGAGCUGUGCAGUGUCUCAGUAAGAAGGAGCCAUCCCGUGAGGCCGUUACUGCAAACAAGCUGAAAAUCCUGCUUUGUUUCUUUUGGACACAACAUGCUUUCCUUCAGCUUCAGUAGACGAUGAGGCCAGCACCACAUGGGCUAGAUGUACAUGAGAUGUGAGCAACCACACUUCCCCUCUGACGGGGACAGACAGCAUCACAGGACAUGAAGUUCUAAGAGGUUCAGUGACUUGUCUAAGAUUAAACAGCUAUGAAUGGAGAACUGGAGGCAAAUGCCUCAUCAUCUCUCACCUGGGCAACUGCAACAAUGAGCAGUUUGUGUCUGUGCCUGCAUCCAUCCUUCCAUCCUGUACUCCAGCAGCAGCCAGGGUGGUCUUUCAAAAAUGCAAAGCUGAUAAUGUUACUCCCCUGCUGUAAACCUUCCAGCGGUUUCCUAUUGCCUUCAGAAUAAAAUACGAAUCAUCUGGCCUCCAUCUAUCUCUCCAGGCUCAUCCUCUCUCAAUUUUCCAUAUCCUUCAGGCUGAGCUCUGAAACUUCUCCUGGCAGUUCAAGAGAGCGAUGGAGGGAAUGCUGGGGCACAUCUAAAUAAAGCCUCCAAGUGGGAGUUCCUGCUCAGCUAUGCAUGAGCUCUUUGUGACUUCAUCUCCCAGCCUACAACUUGUGAAAUAAGCACGACUUCACUCAGAGCACAGCCAGAAACAUACAAACUUUCCAAAAAUAUUUGAAUGUUGACAGCAGACUGUCUUGCAUUCCAGUGAAUAAUUGGUUUGUAUGAGUGUGUGUGUGACCUAAAUCCACAGAACUUACCAUUCUGUGGCUAUACAAAGUAAGUUUCAUAGCCCUGAUUUUCCAAAUCUCAAUGGUUAAUUGCCAAGCUAGCAGGCAGCCAUGCCUUUUUCCAGGAUGCUGGGGUGGCUGAUACUGGACUUUGAGGCAGUCCUCUUGCUCACUGGCUGCAGCCUGCUAGAAGGGCAGGAGAUCAAACAUAUCCCGAUGUGGGGUCUACAGCUGUUGUCUGACAGUGGUGACAGGGACAGGGGGAUUACUGUUAAUGGGGCCACCUGGAUAAUGGAUUCUUCUUUUUUUCUGUGCCUGCUUGCUAGGACCACUGCCUACACCACAGGUUUCUGUGGAUUCACUCAAAUUUCAGUGGCUCCCCAAGGCUGAAGGGAAGGUGGUCCUUCCAAGGGUCACUUUUAGUGAGCUGGGUCUCACUCCAGAGCUGCCUAGGCCCCCAGUGUUACAGCUCUGUCAGUAACACUGCCUUUUGAUACACGUACACCUGUAGCAGGUGGUGCCAGUGUCCUUCCUGUAAUACUCGAUCUUUCAGAGUGGGCCAGCUGACUGCAAGCUCCCAGUGUCUGCAUCCCUGUGCUCGAAGGCUUUUUUCCCCCAAUGCUAGGCCACUUUGCCCAUGUGCACAGCAGGCUGGAAGGGCUAGGGAGUUAAUAACCCCUCAGGAGCAGCCCUCAUUCAAUGACUUUCAGGAAUUGGUGUAUAAAUACCUCAGCUCCCUCAUUCCUUGGGUGGGAUAAUUCUAAGAUCUGGGUUCUGCAGACCUGGGUUUCCUAGAGUGUCCCUGUGGGAUUAUGGCCCAGACCCCCAUUGUGGUAGCUGGUAUGACCACCCUUUAUUAGCUACAGUCUCUUCCCUGUAUUAUGUCCCUCUUAUCUGCUAGUGUCACCUGUGCUUCCUAAUAGAACACUUGUGCUUGAACCCUUGUCUCAGGCCUGCUUUUGGGGAACCCAAACUUGGAAAAUACCCUGGUUCCAGAGGGGCAAGAACUCCAGCAUCAGACACAUAAUAUGCCUAGGAGCAGCCCUCUUCUGGGACCUCUGUCUUGUUGGGGCAUCCGGGUCACUGACUGGGUCCCCAUCUCCUGCAGGGCAAGUCUCCUCUCAGUCAUGAUAACCAAACAUCCCACUCCCCAACAGCCC